rnacentral:rRNA from 1 species
GCCUAGCGAUUGUAAAGUUAGUGGCGGACGGGUGAGUAACGCGUGAAUAACCUGCCUUAUACUGGGGGGACAACAGUUGGAAACGACUGCUAAUACCGCAUAAGCGCACUAAAGCUGCAUGGCUCAGUGUGAAAAACUCCGGUGGUAUAAGAUGGAUUCGCGUCUGAUUAGCUAGUUGGUGAGGUAACGGCUCACCAAGGCGACGAUCAGUAGCCGGCCUGAGAGGGUGAACGGCCACAUUGGGACUGAGACACGGCCCAAAACUCCCUACGGGGAGGCAGCAGGUGGGGAAUAUUGCACAAUGGGGGAAACCCUGAUGCAGCGACGCCGCGUGAGUGAAGAAGUAUUUCGGUAUGUAAAGCUCUAUCAGCAAGGAAGAAAAUGACGGUACUUGACUAAGAAGCCCCGGCUAACUACGUG